rnacentral:lncRNA from 1 species
CCUCCUGUGCCAUGUCCCACCCAUGCAGAGACCCACUGGAAAUCAGACUGUCCAGCUUGCCUAGCAGCCACUCCUAGAGCCCCUAAAGCUCCAGCCCAAGGUUCUCUAACUGACUCCUUCCCACAUCUUCUCAGCUUAGCGGCUGAUGACUGACCCUGCCUGAUCUCCUUGGAAGCCUCCUGGACCAUAACAGAUGCUUUGGGUAAAUCUUAACAGUGGAGGGAAAUGAAUAACAUGAAGUGAAGUCUUCAUCUCCAUUCCCAACAGUCCCCAUUCUACUUGCAGAAAGGUUGCUUACACUGAAAAUCAGUUUAUUUUCCCCUGGUGCAAAGAACAGUCGUUUCUCCAAAACUGAAGCUGGAAAUUAUCUGAAAUAUCAGGUCCUCCGGAAAAGGGACGUGAAGCCCCCUUUGUAAUUUCUGCAUUAGCGUGCUCUCCUGGCAAGCAGGAAACCUCAUCAGAGAAGUCAGCCAAGGAAAGUCUUUAAAUGGAAAUUGUGCAAACGAGGAGCAAAUGCAUUAAAAAGUUGCUGACGGGCAUGAAAUGCUUUGAUGUGAAGACGGAAAACUCCAAGCAGGAAGGAUUUUAACAUUUUGAAUCUGAUUGACUCUGUGGUUUCUCAGCACAGUUAUUCCAUGGGCUAAAAUAAAUGCAGAAAUGGUACUUUCAGACCACAGCUGCAGAGGGGAUCGUGGUGAAUUUCAAUGAAAAUCCAUUUGAAUCUUGAGGUUCAGAUCUUAAAAAAGCAAAGGACAUGAGAGAAGUAAUAUUGUUGCUUGAAAUUUCAUUGCUUAUAUCUAAAAGAAACUCCUAUUUUUAAGAGAAAUGUUGAAUCUUUGCAACGUGGUAGACGCUCCCACAAAACUUUCUCCUGAAAUAGGAGAUAAAUGUUGGAAAGAGGCAAUGUAUUGAGUAUGCUGAUAGAGGUGGAGUUCAGAGACAGGCAAGCAUACAUAAGAGUCAGGAUGUUUUUCAGUAUUAUCUUUACAAAUGAGUUUCUUACAGUGGUCAAUGACAAACCAAUUUCAUUCAAAGCUUGCUUCAAUAGGCAAUGGUUUGAUGCCAAUAUGUUAGCUAUUUACUUUGACCACCGUAUGCAUUAAAAAGAAGAAAAAUUAAGAAUACUCAAGCAGAACCUCCAACUUAGAUAGCACUUUCCACAAAAAGUAAUGGAGGGAUAGACUGAAGUUAAAUGGGAUCAGGUAUGUGAUGAGAUCUCAGAAGUGUUUGCACAAUAAUGCAGAUACUCAUUUUAAACAGAGUCAUAAGGAUUGGAACUAAUAAAAAUAAUAGAAUAAAAUACCGAUCAAGAAUGUGUCCUCCUGCGUAUCUGGGUUUUGAAUUCUGGCUCCACAGAACUUGUCAGAUAUAUGACAUUAAACAAGAUACUUCAACAUUCUGUGCCUUCAUUUUCUUAGCUGUAAAUAGAGAUUUUACUAGAACUCUAUAAGAUUAUCAUGAGAAUUACAUUAAUA